rnacentral:rRNA from 1 species
UACGUAGGUGGCAAGCGUUGUCCGGAUUUACUGGGCGUAAAGAGCACGCAGGCGGUCGUUCAAGUCGCGUGUGAAAGCCCCCGGCUCAACUGGGGAGGGUCACGCGAUACUGAUCGACUCGAAGGCAGGAGAGGGUAGUGGAAUUCCCGGUGUAGUGGUGAAAUGCGUAGAUAUCGGGAGGAACACCAGUGGCGAAGGGCGACUGACCUGGCCUGUU